GGGUUGUGAGGUUAAGCGACCAAGCGUACACGGUGGAUGCCCUGGCAGUCAGAGGCGAUGAAGGACGUGCUAAUCUGCGAAAAGCGCCGGUAAGGUGAUAUGAACCGUUAUAACCGGCGAUGUCCGAAUGGGGAAACCCAGUGUGACUCGUCACACUAUCAUUAACUGAAUCCAUAGGUUAAUGAGGCGAACCGGGGGAACUGAAACAUCUAAGUACCCCGAGGAAAAGAAAUCAACCGAGAUUCCCCCAGUAGCGGCGAGCGAACGGGGAGGAGCCCAGAGCCUGAAUCAGCAUGUGUGUUAGUGGAAGCGUCUGGAAAGGCGCGCGAUACAGGGUGAGAGCCCCGUACACAAAAGCGCAUAUGCUGUGAGCUCGAUGAGUAGGGCGGGACACGUGGUAUCCUGUCUGAAUAUGGGGGGACCAUCCUCCAAGGCUAAAUACUCCUGACUGACCGAUAGUGAACCAGUACCGUGAGGGAAAGGCGAAAAGAACCCCGGCGAGGGGAGUGAAACAGAACCUGAAACCGUGUACGUACAAGCAGUGGGAGCCUCUCU
rnacentral:rRNA from 1 species